GGGUUUGAUCCUGGCCCAGGACGAACGCUGGCGGCGUGCCUUAGGCAUGCAAGUGGAACGGUUUUGUAGCAAUACAAAACAGUCGCGAACGGCUGAGUAAUACGUAAGAAUUUACCUCUUGGUGGGGAACAGCUCGCCGAAAGGCGGGGUAAUACCGCAUAAGAUCGUAAGAUGAAAGUCGCAAGACGCCGAGAGAGAAGCUUACGGCCCAUCAGCUAGUUGGUAGGGUAAUUGCCUACCAAGGCUACGACGGGUAGGGGGUGUGAGAGCACGGCCCCCCAGAAUGGCACUGAGAUACGGGCCAUACACCUACGGGUGGCAGCAACCGGGAAUUGUACGCAAUGGACGAAAGUCUGACGUCGCGACGCCGCGUGGAGGAUGAAGGCUUACGAGUCGUAAACUCCUUUUGCCACAAGUGAGAACUUGUGGAGAAUAAGUACUUGCUAACUCUGUGCCAGCAGCAGCGGUAAUACAGAGAGUACAAGCGUUGUCCGGAAUUAUUGGGCGUAAAGCGUUUCGCAGGUGUCUAUCUAAGUUAUGGUUGAAAGACCGGGGCUCAACCCCGGGAACGGCCGUAAUACUAGGUGGAUUGAGUGGUAUCGGGGCUAUUGGAACUGUCGGUGUAGGGGUGAAAUCCGUUGAUAUCGACAGGAACUCCGAGGGCGUAGGCAGAUAGCUAGGUACCUACUGACACUCAUGAACGAAAGCUCGGGUAGCGAAAGGGAUGGAAUAAAAUCUAGUCCCCUUGCCAAGUAAUUGGCAAUGUUAAAUUUGGCUAUAUCGGUGAACAUCCUUAUUAGAUUAAGGACAAUACCGAGGUAACCUAAAUUACCUUAAAGUGGUUUUCACUAAAAUGAAAGGAAAACAUAGAUGGCAACUCGAUCAGACAUACUUUUAGAUGUUGAAGGAAACAUCGAGAAAGCUUUGGAACAAGUCAUGCAAUACUACCUUCAUGAUUUAAUAGAAGAUUCCAUAGAUGGAUCUGGGUUCGAUUGCGACAUUUUAGACGUCUUUGAAAAAGUUCGAGAAGAUGUCAAAGCGCGAUUCGAAGAACUUCGAAAGAAGUAUGAAGGACAGUAAGUCAUUAUUUGGUAGGGAGUAGAAGCCUGUAAAGGCAAGUAUUCCCAACCACUUUAAGGUAAUUUAGGACACCGUAGAGACUACACGCCGAACUCCUGCUUUGCAGGAUGAUGAUAUAGUCCGAUCUUCAUAGAAAUAUGAAGCACAAUUAAGAAAUUAAUUGUCGCCGUGAAAGCGGUAAUAAUUUCAAUAACUACAGAUUGAAAAAAGUAACAAGAAGUAGAGACCCCUGUAGUCCGAGCCCUAAACAUUGCUCGCUAGCUUUUCCUCACUAUGUGGGGAGGGGCGUAAGCUAACGCGUGAAGCGAGCCGCC
rnacentral:rRNA from 1 species